GACCUCUUAGGGUCACACCUGGAGUUUUUCCAGUAUUCUACCAGUCUCGGUUAUGGGAGGGAGAGUCAAGCAGAGACCUACCCAUUCCAUUCGUAGCUUGGCCAGUGGCUAGUGAUUGGAAGGCAAUCUACUACAAGU